rnacentral:misc_RNA from 1 species
CCCAAGAUGAAACAGACCAAGACCAGGAGUUGCUCAAGUCAAAAGAACGAUCGAUUGCAUAUUGACUGGGUAUAUUGGAAGCCACAACUGAAAUUGGAUGGUCAUUAUUAGAGAACUCAUUAUUUCUUCCAGAGAGUUCUAAACCACAACCUGUUCUUUCUCUCAUUUGAUCUACCUUAGUUUGAUCAGUAUGAAACAGAGUUGCAGGCUCAUUAGUUUUUUUUAACAGAACCUGUAAUGGCUGGAAAGAUGAAGGCAACUUUUCUGGCAGAAGACUUUGAGAAACAGACUUUAUGUUGGUUUUAC